GUAACGCGUAUCCAACCUUCCCUAUAGUAGAGAAUAGCCCGGCGAAAGUCGGAUUAAUGCUCUAUGUUGUUCAAUGCAGACAUCUAAGUUGAACCAAAGGUUUACCGCUAUAGGAUGGGGAUGCGUCUGAUUAGGUUGUUGGCGGGGUAACGGCCCACCAAGCCGUCGAUCAGUAGGGGUUCUGAGAGGAAGGUCCCCCACAUUGGAACUGAGACACGGUCCAAACUCCUACGGGAGGCAGCAGUGAGGAAUAUUGGUCAAUGGACGGAAGUCUGAACCAGCCAAGUAGCCGUGCAGGAUGACCGGCCCUAGUGGGUUAGUAAACUGUCUUUUAUACGAGGAUAAAGUCGGGGACGUGUUCCCGUUUGUAGGUACUGUAUGAAUAAGGACCGGCUAAUUCCGUGCCAGCCGCUGC
rnacentral:rRNA from 1 species